rnacentral:rRNA from 1 species
CAUGCAAGUCGAGCGAGAAAGUGACUUCGGUCACGAGUAAAGCGGCGAACGGGUGAGUACAACGUGGAUAAUCUACCCUAAGGUCCGGGACAACCCCGAGAAAUCGGAGCUAAUACCGGAUAAGACCACAGUAUCCGAGGAUACAGCGGUAAAAGAUUUAUCGCCUUUGGAUGAGUCCACGUCCCAUCAGGUAGUUGGUAAGGUAAAAGCUUACCAAGCCUAAGACGGGUAGCCGGCCUUAGCGGAUGAACGGCCACAUGGGGACUGAGACACGGCCCUGACUCCUACGGGAGGCAGCAGUGGGGAAUAUUGGGCAAUGGGCGAAAGCCUGACCCAGCGAUGCCGCGUGAGGGAUGAAGGCCUUCGGGUUGUAAACCUCUGUCAGGAGGGACGAUGGGACACUUGUGUCUUGACGGUACCUCCAGAGGAAGCCCCGGCUAACUCCGUGCCAGCAGCCGCGGUAAUACGGAGGGGGCAAGCGUUGCUCGGAAUUACUGGGCGUAAAGGGUCCGCAGGCUGUCAGGCAAGUUGGUUGUGAAAGCUCAAGGCUUAACCUUGGAAUUGCAUCCAAAACUGCCUGACUAGAGUCCAAGAGAGGUUGGCGGAAUUCCCGGUGUAGCGGUGAAAUGCAUAGAUAUCGGGAGGAACACCAGAGGCGAAGGCGGCCAACUGGCUUGGAACUGACG